AAGGGAAGGAGCCAUGAAGGGUCCUAUUCUAUUCAGCUCAGAACCAAUUUGUCCACAUACUUGCUCAGCUUGUGUUCUAUCUAGUUCCAGUAUAUCUGGAACAAUUACUCAAGAAGGGGAUCUAUCAUAUUCAACGACACCAAAAGUGCAGCACUGCAGAGAGUUUCAUACACAAUUCAGUUCUAGAAAUUAGUAGACACACAAGCAGAAUGAGCUAGUAACAGCAACAUACCUAUUGAUGCAGUAACGCUUCACAGUUGGCGGCGGUCCAUCAUCAAAGACGUGGCCCAGAUGAGCAUCACAAGCAGCACAAAGAACUUCCUCUCGAGGCAUGAAAAUAAUGGACAGGUCUAGCUUGGUUUUGACAUUAUCACCAAUGGGCUGGUAAUACGAUGGCCAACCAGUUCCACUGUCAAAUUUAGUUGAUGAUCUGAAGAGAGAAUAUUACAUAUUAUUGGGAGUUCUAUGAAAAUUCAUUU